rnacentral:tRNA from 1 species
GGACCCGUAGCUCAGCCAGGAUAGAGUGCUGGCCUUCGGAGCCAGUGGUCCCGGGUUCAAAUCCCGGCGGGUCCG